GAUUGAGGAGUUGCAUUUAUUUUUAAUCAAUUAAUAAAAACAUAUUGUGUGUGUGGGUAAUCUGUAUUUUAUUACCGACUGGUAAAAUGUGUAUCGCCAUUUAUCGGUACUAGAUAUUACUUCACUGUACCGACUAGUAAAUUUAGGCUGCCAUCUAGCGGAAGUAAAUGUUACUAUAUCUUACCGAUUAGUAGAAUAUGUUUCGCCAUCUAGACAAAAGAUAAAACAUCACUAGGAUAAAAUCAAGAUGGCUACCUGUCAAUAUACUUUGAAUACCAUAAACACAGGCUAUGUGCAGUUGAUCGCCAAUUCUGGAUGAAAAUAGUUAAAUUGGAUGUAUUGCUGUAGGACAGUGUUAUGUCAUAACCUAAGAAAAAUAAUUUUCUUAAUUAAAUCCGAGAAUGCAGAUGAAUUCCAGACGUUCUUUUUAUCAAAUUAUUAUAACAAAUACUAAUCAGCAUGCAGAUCUAUAUUUUUAAUUCCAAUCCAAGAACGUUAUACCCAAAAGAAGAGGAGUCCGUUACACCAUUGGAUCAAUGGAU
rnacentral:lncRNA from 1 species